rnacentral:rRNA from 1 species
GAUGAACGCUGGCGGCGUGCCUAACACAUGCAAGUCGAACGGAGAUUACGGACGGAAGUUUUCGGAUGGAAGCCUGUAAUUCUUAGUGGCGGACGGGUGAGUAACGCGUGGGCAACCUGCCCUAUACAGGGGGAUAGCAGCUGGAAACGGCUGGUAAGACCGCAUAAGUCGGUUAAAUCGCAUGAUUUGAUCGGGAAAUGAGCAAUCAGGUAUAGGAUGGGCCCGCGUCCGAUUAGCCAGUUGGCAGGGUAAAAGCCUACCAAAGCGACGAUCGGUAGCCGGACCGAGAGGUCGGACGGCCACAUUGGGACUGAGACACGGCCCAAACUCCUACGGGAGGCAGCAGUGGGGGAUAUUGCACAAUGGAGGAAACUCUGAUGCAGCGACGCCGCGUGAGUGAAGAAGUAUUUCGGUAUGUAAAGCUCUAUCAGCAGGGAAGAUGAUGACGGUACCUGACGAAGAAGCCCCGGCUAACUACGUG